GAGGGUACAGCUUAGUAGUAAAGCGCAUGCUUAGCAUGCACAAGGUCCUAGGUUCAAUCCCCAGUACCUCCA
rnacentral:tRNA from 1 species